rnacentral:tRNA from 1 species
ACAUUGGUGGUUCAAUGGUAAAAUUCUUGUCUUCCAUGUAGGAGACUUGGGUUUGAUUCCCAACCAAUGCA